rnacentral:misc_RNA from 1 species
CCGUAGAACUUUUCUGGAAGACGAAUGAUUUUCUUUGAGUUCUAAGGAUUUGCAGGUAAACAAUAGUUUGGUGUCGAAGAUGAGGCCUUUAUUCGUGGGGAAUAUCGAGUAUGAUAUACGUCAACCAGAACUGGAGCGAUUGUUCUCCAAGUAUGGAAGGAUCGAGCGUCUUGACAUGAAAUCUGGAACAUCUCCUAAGGAAUAAGAGCUUGUAUCAUGGCUCAACACUUGCAAAAACUUCUAUUGCAAGGCAACCUAUCUGUCUUCCUGUACUCCUCAAUGAUGGAAUCAUUCUGCAUUUCUUAGAUCAAUCUUCUGUCAUUCACUUCAUUGCCCAUGUAGCCAUUUUCGAAGAAUGGCUGUGGUGGG